rnacentral:rRNA from 1 species
AGGGUGACAGCCCCGUACACAAAAGCGCAUGUGUUGUGAGCUCGAUGAGUAGGGCGGGACACGUGGUAUCCUGUCUGAAUAUGGGGGGACCAUCCUCCAAGGCUAAAUACUCCUGACUGACCGAUAGUGAACCAGUACCGUGAGGGAAAGGCGAAAAGAACCCCGGCGAGGGGAGUGAAAAAGAACCUGAAACCGUGUACGUACAAGCAGUGGGAGCACAGGUUUACCUGUGUGACUGCGUACCUUUUGUAUAAUGGGUCAGCGACUUAUAUUCUGUAGCAAGGUUAACCGUAUAGGGGAGCCGGAGGGAAACCGAGUCUUAAUUGGGCGUUAAGUUGCAGGGUAUAGACCCGAAACCCGGUGAUCUAGCCAUGGGCAGGUUGAAGGUUGGGUAACACUAACUGGAGGACCGAACCGACUAAUGUUGAAAAAUUAGCGGAUGACCUGUGGCUGGGGGUGAAAGGCCAAUCAAACCGGGAGAUAGCUGGUUCUCCCCGAAAGCUAUUUAGGUAGCGCCUCGUGAAUUCAUCUCCGGGGGUAGAGCACUGUUUCGGCUAGGGGGCCAUCCCGGCUUACCAACCCGAUGCAAACUGCGAAUACCGGAGAAUGUUAUCACGGGAGACACACGGCGGGUGCUAACGUCCGUCGUGAAGAGGGAAACAACCCAGACCGCCAGCUAAGGUCCCAAAGUCAUGGUUAAGUGGGAAACGAUGUGGGAAGGCCCAGACAGCCAGGAUGUUGGCUUAGAAGCAGCCAUCAUUUAAAGAAAGCGUAAUAGCUCACUGGUCGAGUCGGCCUGCGCGGAAGAUGUAACGGGGCUAAACCAUGCACCGAAGCUGCGGCAGCGACGCUUAUGCGUUGUUGGGUAGGGGAGCGUUCUGUAAGCCUGUGAAGGUGUGUCGUGAGGCAUGCUGGAGGUAUCAGAAGUGCGAAUGCUGACAUAAGUAACGAUAAAGCGGGUGAAAAGCCCGCUCGCCGGAAGACCAAGGGUUCCUGUCCAACGUUAAUCGGGGCAGGGUGAGUCGACCCCUAAGGCGAGGCCGAAAGG